AGAAAGAAGGUCAGGCUUGGUGUUCCAGAAAUGGGAUUCUCAAAGGAGCUGGAGAUGAGGACAGGGCCUUCACAGUGACAGAGACGUUCCUGCAGCCCGAAGGUGGGACACCGCUGAUGUGGCCCUGUGCCCUUCCUGGGGGAUGCCGUGGAAGCUGGCGGAAUGGCUGCUCCGCUUCUCACCAGCAGCUUUGAUGGAAGAUCACUUGGCAUCGGAGGCUGAUGAUCGUGGCCCAGAGAAGAACUGGAUCGUGGGGGUUCUCUGAGAAAUGCAGAAGUUUACAUCUCCUCAAGUGGGCUGUAAUAUCCAGUCAGCAUGCGACUCCCUUGGAGACAGCCGGCGUAAGAAGUGAGUCCAACUCCUGAAGAGAGGUCAACAGAAUCCGUUUCGCCGAACUCCAAGACAACGCGGCCCACACGCUGUGGACCAUACGCGCACACAACCACAAGAAGAAGCCUGCGGCAUGUGUGAGGACCGUCACGCUAAACACAGCUAGCGAAUCGCAGGUCUUCGGUUUACGGAACACUGAGUGCAAAAGGGAAGGACUCAAAAAUUAAACAGCUAUAUGUCUGCCCACUGCCCUCGAAAAACACAUUUCCUUUCCUUAGAACUUCAAGUACCGCAGUCAGCCACAGGGAUUCAAAUAAAUCAUGGGUUUUCACCUGGGGGGUCCACACAGACAUAGCAUAAAUUGGCAACAUGAAUCGCCAAUAUUAUCAUCCACUUGUAUGCAACACUAAAAAUAUUCAUAGAGGACCACCCUGUUCAAAUAAAAAAGAAAUAUGACAGCACCCCCCCUCCCAAGUUUAUAUGAUCAUGUCUUACUGGUAGGAGUUCCUAGUUCUGCACUGUUUUCAUUUGGUGGGGGUCACUGGUUUAAGAAAAGUAUAUAUACUAUCAGAAAAAAAGGCUACAGCCCAGGUACAGUUUUGAACUCCAAGGUACAAAUAAAGUUAAUGUACCCAAAUGAUACAAAAAUGUUCCUCAGAGUCCAUUUCUGUACUUUAAAUUAGACUAAAAGGAACAUACCUACAACUGGGGUACAUUUGGAAGACCUUUGAUGGUACAGCCUGAGUGGCAAGGAAUUGUACACCCAAAGGUAAAAUAUGGCUCUUGUUUUCUGACAGUGUAUAUGAACAGAUUCCUAAAAAAUAAUAACACCAGCAGAAGAUGGCUGCAGAUGCAAUGAAUAUAAUAAUUAUGGCAUAAUGACUUGAAAAAUAAAUAGGUUUUCCCUUCAGAUACCCAGGGUAAUUGUUAGCCAUCUAAAUAUAACCGGUGACUGCAGAAAGACAUUUUCAGGCAUACGUCUCUCUGUGCUAGACACUGUCUUACUUCAAACUGACACUUUGAUUUCUCAGUAACACUUUAGUCAUCAUAAAGCAUAAUAUUGCAUUCAUAGAAUAUUAUAAACAUGGCUAUGACUAUCUAUAAAAAGGCAUAACACAUUAUAGCCAUGUGUAUUAUGCAUUAUGAAUGCUUUAUGAUGCUGUCAUCUAUAAUACACUAUAAAUACCUUCAUAAUGCAUUAUAAUGCUCAGUAUAAGCCAAUAAAAUGCACCAUGAAGGUCUUUAUGGUGCAUUGUACAUCAGAGCAUUCAUAAUGCAUAAUAAACGACUACAAUGUGUUACACCUUUUUACAGUUAUACCUCUCUUUAUAAUACUUUAUGAAUGCAUUAUAAUGCAUUAUGAAGGUAUUUAUAGUGCAUUGUACAUCAGAGCAUUCAUAAUGCAUCAUAAACAUGACUACAAUGUGUUACACACCUUUUUAUAAAUAGCUAUACCUCUGUUUAUGAAUGCAUUAUAAACCAUUAUGAAGGUAUCUAUGAAGCAUUAUACGAGUAGUUUAAGUAAAGUGUUACUGAUUUCUCUUUAAAAUUAUAUUUCAGCAUUUCUUCUCCCCACAUGUCUUAAAAGAAUAAUGCAAUGGAUCAUAUCUUUUUAUGUACUCAAGAGCAACUUGGGUCAGGCACAGAGGAACUGCGUAUGCAUCAGCAGCGGGUAAGAUCUCACAGAGAGCUUAAAACCAGCAGAACUGGAGCAAAUCCUGAAGGUGAUUUUUUUUUUUUUUUACCCAUGUAACAGCGGUGCCUGCACACGGUCUGUCUGCACGACUUUAGAAGUACAAUGUUCUGAACAGGCAGAGCACUUGUCAGAUCAAGUGAAUCAAAGUACCGGCAGUUAGAGAGCUUUUAAAUGGUGGUGAUUACCUUGUCAGCAAACCCCUUAAUGAUUCAUUCUACGAGACACUGCGGCAUCCUCCCCACACACACACUUGUUACUGAAAUCCAAUACAAAGAAAACACGUCCCAUAAUUGAGUGCCUCCUUGCACCGGCUCAGUAAUCAGGGGUCUUGAUUGGUCUUAUUUGAGAUGUAAGCCGCACGCUGAUGCUUACUGCAGCCAUGUUGUUUUGAUGUGGGGUGCUCGACGUGGGGAGAGGGAGUGACUGAAUCUGAGCAGUGAGCAUUGAGAAGUGUUUUCAUAUGUAAAGUAACAGGCAUCCUACAAAGUACAAGUAUUUGUCUGUGUAAACUAUGUUUAUUACUUUGGAAAUACAAUACAAACCAUGAAGGAGAA